GGGGAAUUUUGCGCAAUGGGCGAAAGCCUGACGCAGCAACGCCGCGUGAGCGAAGAAGGCCUUCGGGUUGUAAAGCUCUGUCAGGGGGAAAGAAGGCACCUGGGUUAAUAGCCCAAGGGUUGACGGUACCUCCAAAGGAAGCCACGGCUAACUACGUGCCAGCAGCCGCGGUAAUACGUAGGUGGCGAGCGUUGUCCGGAAUCAUUGGGCGUAAAGAGCGCGUAGGUGGCUUGUUAGGUCUGAUGUGAAACCUUGGGGCUCAACCCCAAGCCUGCAUCAGAAACCGGCUUGCUAGAGUCUGGGAGAGGAGAGUGGAAUUCCUGGUGUAGCGGUGAAAUGCGUAGAUAUCAGGAGGAACACCGGUAGCGAAGGCGGCUCUCUGGAACAGUACUGACGCUGAGGCGCGAAAGCUAGGGGAGCGAAC
rnacentral:rRNA from 1 species